rnacentral:rRNA from 1 species
AUUGAACGCUGGCGGCAGGCCUAACACAUGCAAGUCGAGCGGAUGAAGGGAGCUUGCUCCUGGAUUCAGCGGCGGACGGGUGAGUAAUGCCUAGGAAUCUGCCUGGUAGUGGGGGAUAACGUCCGGAAACGGGCGCUAAUACCGCAUACGUCCUGAGGGAGAAAGUGGGGGAUCUUCGGACCUCACGCUAUCAGAUGAGCCUAGGUCGGAUUAGCUAGUUGGUGGGGUAAAGGCCUACCAAGGCGACGAUCCGUAACUGGUCUGAGAGGAUGAUCAGUCACACUGGAACUGAGGCACGGUCCAGACUCCUACGGGAGGCAGCAGUGGGGAAUAUUGGACAAUGGGCGAAAGCCUGAUCCAGCCAUGCCGCGUGUGUGAAGAAGGUCUUCGGAUUGUAAAGCACUUUAAGUUGGGAGGAAGGGCAGUAAGUUGAUACCUUGCUGUUUUGACGUUACCAACAGAAUAAGCACCGGCUAACUUCGUG